rnacentral:rRNA from 1 species
GUGCCAGCCGCUGCGGUAAAUACGGAGGGUGCAAGCGUUAAUCGGAAUUACUGGGCGUAAAGCGCACGCAGGCGGUCUGUCAAGUCGGAUGUGAAAUCCCCGGGCUCAACCCGGGAACUGCAUUCGAAACUGGCAGGCUGGAGUCUCGUAGAGGGGUAGAAUUCAGGUGUAGCGGUGAAAUGCGUAGAGAUCUGGAGGAAUACCGGUGGCGAAGGCGGCCCCCUGGACGAAGACUGAAAAACGCUCAGGUGCGAAAGCGUGGGGAGCAAACAGGAUUAGAUACCCUGGUAGUCCACGCCGUAAACGAUGUCUAUUUGGAGGUUGUGCCCUUGAGGCGUGGCUUCCGGUUAGCUAACGCGUUAAAUAGACCGCCUGGGAGUACGGCCGCAAGGUUAAAACUACAAAUAGAAUUGACGGGGGCCCGCACAAGCGGUGGAGCAUGUGGUUUAAUUCGAUGCAACGCGAAGAACCUUACCUGGUCUUGACAUCCACAGAAGUUUCAGAGAUGAGAAUGUGCCUUCGGGAACUGUAGAGACAGGUGC